UGGGGAAUAUUGCACAAUGGGCGCAAGCCUGAUGCAGCCAUGCCGCGUGUAUGAAGAAGGCCUUCGGGUUGUAAAGUACUUUCAGCGGGGAGGAAGGGAGUGAGGUUAAUAACCUUAUUCAUUGACGUUACCCGCAGAAGAAGCACCGGCUAACUCCGUGCCAGCAGCCGCGGUAAUACGGAGGGUGCAAGCGUUAAUCGGAAUUACUGGGCGUAAAGCGCACGCAGGCGGUCUGUCAAGUCGGAUGUGAAAUCCCCGGGCUCAACCUGGGAACUGCAUUCGAAACUGGCAGGCUGGAGUCUU
rnacentral:rRNA from 1 species